GUGGGGAAUAUUGGACAAUGGGCGCAAGCCUGAUCCAGCAAUGCCGCGUGGGUGAAGAAGGUCUUCGGAUCGUAAAGCCCUUUCGACAGGGACGAUGAUGACGGUACCUGUAGAAGAAGCCCCGGCUAACUUCGUGCCAGCAGCCGCGGUAAUACGAAGGGGGCUAGCGUUACUCGGAAUUACUGGGCGUAAAGGGCGCGUAGGCGGAUCUGUUAGUCAGGCGUGAAAUUCCUGGGUUUAACCUGGGGACUUCGCUUGAUACUGCAGGGCUUGAGGACGAGAUAGGGUGGGGGAAUUCCCAGUGUAGAGGUGAAAUUCGUAGAUAUUGGGAAGAACACCGGUGGCGAAGGCGACCACCUGGCUCGGUUCUGACGCUGAGGCGCGACAGCGUGGGGAGCAAACAGGAUUAGAUACCCUGGUAGUCC
rnacentral:rRNA from 1 species